rnacentral:snRNA from 1 species
GUUUUUUACAUUUCCAGCACAUACACUGAAACUGGAACAAUGCAGGGAAGAUCAGCAUGGCUCCUGCCCUGUGCAAGGAUGACAUGCAAAUUCGUGAAACAUUCUAUUAAAAC